UUGCACGCUGGCGGCAGGCCUAACACAUGCAAGUCGAACGGUAACAGGAAGAAGCUUGCUUCUUUGCUGACGCGUGGCGGACGGGUGAGUAAUGUCUGGGAAACUGCCUGAUGGAGGGGGAUAACUACUGGAAACGGUAGCUAAUACCGCAUAACGUCGCAAGACCAAAGAGGGGGACCUUCGGGCCUCUUGCCAUCGGAUGUGCCCAGAUGGGAUUAGCUAGUAGGUGGGGUAACGGCUCACCUAGGCGACGAUCCCUAGCUGGUCUGAGAGGAUGACCAGCCACACUGGAACUGAGACACGGUCCAGACUCCUACGGGAGGCAGCAGUGGGGAAUAUUGCACAAUGGGCGCAAGCCUGAUGCAGCCAUGCCGCGUGUAUGAAGAAGGCCUUCGGGUUGUAAAGUACUUUCAGCGGGGAGGAAGGGAGUAAAGUUAAUACCUUUGCUCAUUGACGUUACCCGCAGAAGAAGCACCGGCUAACUCCGUG
rnacentral:rRNA from 1 species